UACAGAGGUCUCAAGCGUUGUUCGGAUUCAUUGGGCGUAAAGGGUGCGUAGGUGGCGCUGUAAGUCGGGUGUGAAAUUUCGGAGCUUAACUCCGAAACUGCAUUCGAUACUGCGGUGCUUGAGGACUGGAGAGGAGACUGGAAUUCAUGGUGUAGCAGUGAAAUGCGUAGAUAUCUGGAGGAACACCGGUGGCGAAGGCGGUGAGCUGGGCAGUUGCUGACACUGAGGCGCGACAGCGUGGGGAGCAAACAGG
rnacentral:rRNA from 1 species